GUCCAUGUCACAAGCUCAGGCGUCUUCGGGUCCAGUGUUGCAUUCCGGCGAACACCUUUCCUGCAGUCUCCAUCAACAAAAAAGCAGCACCUUGCCUGCUGCAGCCUUCGCUACUUUGCAAUGCCGUUCAGGCGCUCGAUAACGGUGAUCAGUCCCUGCAAGCUCAGGUCCCCGUCGCCAUUGGCCACCAUGGCCGAGAACAUCUGCCGGUACAGCGCCGCUCCAGGCAGCACGUUGACCUCCUCCUCCCCGCCGUCUCCGACCUCCAGCGCCAUGCCGAGGUCCUUGACGAUGUACCGCACGCUGCCCCCGGACGCGAACUCGCGGCGGAGCAAGCGGCCGCCGAAGACGUCCAUGACGCGCGACCAGGCCGCGCCCCUGGACACCGCGCCGAGGAACAGCGGCGCGUCGAGCCCCGCCGCGCGGGCGAAGGACACGGCCUCGCCGAGGCCCACCACCGCGCCGGCCACCGCGACCUGGUUGGCGAUCUUGCUGCUCUGGCCGCUGCCCGGCGCGCCCAUGCGGGUCGCCCUGCCGAGGCUGGCGAAGAGCGGCGCGAGCCAGGCGACGACGGCCUCGUCGCCGCCGGCGAAGACGGCCAGCGUGCCGUCCCGCGCGCCCACGUCGCCUCCGGAGACCGGCGCGUCGACGGCGUGGCAGCCCGCCGCGGCCGCGGCCGCGGCGACCUCGCGCGCGAGGGACGGGGAGGAGCUCGUGCAGUCCACCAGCACGCCGCCGCGGCGGAGGCCCGCGAGGGCCCCGGCGGCCGGGUCCAGGACCACCGCGCGGACGUCGCCGGGGUUCCCGACCAUGGUGAACACCACGUCGGACGCGGCGGCCACGGCGGCCGGCGAGUCCGCGAGGCUCGCGCCCGCCGCGACGAGGCUCUCCGCCCUGGACGGCGUGCGAGCGUACGCGGUGACCGCGUACCCUGCCGCGAGGAGGCGCUUGGCCAUGGCGCCGCCCAUGACGCCGAUGCCGAUCCACCCCACGCGCGUGGCCCCCGGCUGCACCGGCGCCGGAAAACCGAACGCCGCCGCUUCCAGUUGCCGCCCCUCCUCCAUGAUCCCCUCCGUACCGGAGCUACUCGCAAGCUGCCGAUUGUCCACAGCCGCAGCCACGAUUUUGGUUGGUUGGUUGGAUUGCAAGAUAUCCCGCCGUUGCUUUCUUUUUUUUUUCAACGGGACAGCGACAGUGAUGUGCAUAAACAAACAAGAAACUCGCUGGGUCCCACUCUCCGUGAUCGCAAUUUCUUGCAUGAAUCCAAAAACACGC
rnacentral:misc_RNA from 1 species